rnacentral:rRNA from 1 species
AACGAACGCUGGCGGCAGGCUUAACACAUGCAAGUCGAGCGCCCCGCAAGGGGAGCGGCAGACGGGUGAGUAACGCGUCGGAAGCGACCCACCUCUACGGAAUAACCCAUGGAAACGUGUGCUAAUAGCAUAUACGGCCUUCGGGAGAAAGAUAUAUCGGAGAUGGAUGAGCCCGCGUUGGAUUAGCUGCUGGGUGGGGUAAAGGCCUACCAAGGCGACGAUCCAUAGCUGGUCUGAGAGGAUGAUCAGCCACACUUGGACUGAGACACGGACCAGACCCGGACGGGAGGGAGCAGUAGGGAAUAUUGGAGGAGGGGCGCAAGUCUGAUACAGCCAAGCCGCGUGAGUGAUGAAGGCCCUAGGGUUGUAAAGCUCUUUCACCGGUGAAGAUAAUGACGGUAACCGGAGAAGAAGCACCGGCUAACUUCGUGCCAGCAGCCGCGGUAACAC